AUUGAACGCUGGCGGAAUGCUUUACACAUGCAAGUCGAACGGCAGCACGGACUUCGGUCUGGUGGCGAGUGGCGAACGGGUGAGUAAUACAUCGGAACGUGCCCAGUCGUGGGGGAUAACGUAGCGAAAGCUACGCUAAUACCGCAUACGAUCUAAGGAUGAAAGCGGGGGAUCGCAAGACCUCGCGCGAUUGGAGCGGCCGAUGGCAGAUUAGGUAGUUGGUGGGGUAAAGGCCUACCAAGCCGACGAUCUGUAGCUGGUCUGAGAGGACGACCAGCCACACUGGGACUGAGACACGGCCCAGACUCCUACGGGAGGCAGCAGUGGGGAAUUUUGGACAAUGGGCGCAAGCCUGAUCCAGCCAUUCCGCGUGCAGGAUGAAGGCCCUCGGGUUGUAAACUGCUUUUGUACGGAACGAAAAGGCUCUGGUUAAUACCCGGGGCUCAUGACGGUACCGUAAGAAUAAGCACCGGCUAACUACGUGCCAGCCGCCGCCGUAAAAC
rnacentral:rRNA from 1 species